AGCAGCCGCGGUAAUUCCAGCUCCAAUAGCGUAUAUUAAAGUUGCUGCAGUUAAAAAGCUCGUAGUUGAAUUUCGGGACUAAUAUGUCGGUCGUGCCUCGGUACGUACUGGCUUAUUGGUUUCUCCUUUCUGAAGAACCAUGAUGUCAUUUAUUUGGUGUCGUGGGGAAUCAGGACUGUUACUUUGAAAAAAUUAGAGUGUUUAAAGCAGGCUCACGCUUGAAUACAUUAGCAUGGAAUAAUGAAAUAGGACGUUUGAUUCUAUUUUGUUGGUUUCCAGGAUCGACGUAAUGAUUAAUAGGGAUAGUUGGGGGCAUUAGUAUUCAAUUGUCAGAGGUGAAAUUCUUGGAUUUAUUGAAGACUAACUACUGCGAAAGCAUUUGCCAAGGAUGUUUUCAUUAAUCAAGAACGAAAGUUAGGGGAUCGAAGACGAUCAGAUACCGUCGUAGUCUUAACCAUAAACUAUGCCGACUAGGGAUCGGAUGAUGUUAAUUUUUAAUGACUCAUUCGGCGCCUUAAC
rnacentral:rRNA from 1 species